ensembl:lncRNA
CUCUUAUUGAUAUCAUCUGAUGCAGAAAGCACUCCAGGCCACAGGGCCCUGAGAUGCUCUAUUUCUUUGUGUAGCCCUAUCGCUCCUUCCCUCUCUCCUCCCCUUCUUUCUCCACUCUAUAUCCAACUCUAGCCUCAAGCACCAGCCUAUAGACAUGUGGAGAAUAAUAUUUUCUUGCCAUAAGGUAAAACUCUAGAAAAACAUCAUCUGUGCUCCAAGGGGUAGGAUCCAGACUACCUGUGCAGGACAACUCUCUGCAUGCAUACAGUGAAUUUUGGCUCUGAGACCAUCUGUGAGGCCAAAAGUAGGGAGCCUGGUCUCACAGAAAGACAGGAGAGGAAGUUUUACAGUGUCAACAGGGUUGUAUGUGUCCAUCAGCACAGGAGUCUCUGGCAACAAAAGAAGAAGAUUCCAAAUCUUACAAAUAUUUUGAAGAAACCUGCAGAAAGAGCAAGACUAUGACAGCAUGGAACAAAGAUGCCUGAUCUCCAGAGUUUUCAGAAUGAUCACCAGUUCUUGUCAACUAUUGCAAAAGUAGGAAGGAUAUAAUUUUGACUGACAAUGAUGAACAGAACAGUUGAAAGAACAAAAGACAUUUUCAGCACUUCAGCACACCUCCCUUAUUCACAGCACCAAAAACAAGUGCUGUGAUUCACAUAUGACAUGCGGAAUUCCUGAGAUUAACUCCUCCAGUUUAAUUUUCCCAGAGGCUUUGGUCUAUACCAAUUACUUAACAUUCCUUCUCUUAACAGGUCUAAUUGAAGAAAACCUGUGGGUCGAGGCAGUAAUCAAAACCUUCUGGUGAAUUGCCCAGUUCACCUCUUUCAGCCAAGAUGUACUUCUUUACAUCCAGGGCAUGAAGCCAAUGCCUUGUUCUGCUGUUUUUAAUGGCCAGUAUCAUCACCAUUACUGAAAGUCCUUGAUGGAGAGACAGAGAUCAGGGACUCUGGAGUUCACUAAAACCUCCCCAAAACUUUCAGUAGGCAAAGGCACAAAGAAGGUGUUUUCCCUGCCUUUUUAAAGGUGAGGAAGUAAAGAAGCUCAUGGGGUCAUUUUCUUAGUGAAGGAGCUCAUAGGACCACUUUCAUUUGUUUCUGCUCCAAAUCAUCAAGUGCCCCUGCACCCUGAGUGCCCUGUAUGUGACCUGAAACAAGUAAUUUAAUCCAUCUGUGCUUUGCUUCCACAACUAUAAACUGGAGAUAAUCCUUCUCCACUUCUGCAGGCAGCCUGGAAGAUAAAUUCGUUAAUUCUUGGGAGCUGCUCAAUACUUUGACAAAUUGGGCUCUCUGCAUGCAAGCACUUAUAAAAAAUUUCUGCUCCUGAAGCAACACUUCUUCUAUCUGACAGCUGAAAGAUGUAGGUUUGAACAUUCUAAUCCACUAGGCCUUAAGACUUUAAUCCUCCAAAGUCACCCUAGUGAUUAUUAUGCCUGGUUGAGCAUCAGAACUGAACAAACAAAUGCUGAAUAAAGUCAGUCUGCCAAAAGAUUUCA